rnacentral:rRNA from 1 species
UACAGAGGUCCCAAGCGUUGUUCGGAUUCACUGGGCGUAAAGGGUGCGUAGGUGGUGAGGUAAGUCGGAUGUGAAAUCUCCGGGCUCAACCCGGAAAUGGCAUUGGAAACUACCUUGCUGGAGGAUUUGAGGGGGGAUUGGAAUACUUGGUGUAGCAGUGAAAUGCGUAGAUAUCAAGUGGAACACCAGUGGCGAAGGCGAAUCCCUGGAAAAUACCUGACACUGAGGCACGAAAGCGAGGGGAGCAAACAGG